GAUGCUGCGCCGGUAUGAACGGAUUACAUUGAUGUUGUAAAAUAUGAGAAUAUUCUUCAGUAUUU
rnacentral:tRNA from 1 species